UUUCCGUAGGUGAACCUGCGGAAGGAUCAUUAUUGAAUGAACUUGACUUGGUUGCUGCUGGUCUUUUCGAAGGCAUGUGCACACUUUGUCAUCUUUAUAUCUCCACCUGUGCACCUUUUGUAGACCUGAAACCAAAUUUCCGAGGCAACUCGGUCGUGAGGAAAUGCUUAACAACUUUCCUUGUUAGGUUCCAGGGCUAUGUUUUCAUAUACACCAUAAGAAUGUAACAGAAUGUCAUUAUUAGGCUUAGUUGCCUUAUAAACUAUAUACAACUUUCAGCAACGGAUCUCUUGGCUCUC
rnacentral:misc_RNA from 1 species